rnacentral:snoRNA from 1 species
UUGCUCAGUGCUCAUCUGAGCCCUCUUCCUGUGGCGCUGCUGUGCAGUGUCUACAAACAGCAGUGACCUUAGCAGUAUAUAUAGCCUCUUGCUUGUAGGGGUUGUUGAAGGGACCUUGGAAUCAGCC